GUUGGGAUAGCUCAGUUGGUAGAGCAGAGGACUGAAAAUCCUCGU
rnacentral:tRNA from 5 species